CUUCCUCCCUCUUCUCGCUCUCAGCUCAGCGACCCCCCACCCCAUACACCCCCACAUACCUCGUAACAUUAUGUAGCGUAGAACCUCCAUUUCUCCUUCCUCCCCGUAACUCCGACUCUCUCACCUCUGUAGCAGCUGGCCGUCACGGAACAUAACUAGUCGACCAGUUUGAUUUCUACCUACAUCCUUUUAAAAUCUAACGAGUGUAGGGACCCCUCACACCCCCAAUUCUCAACUUUUGGAGGGUGAACACCAGGGCAUUUUACUUACUUAAGUGGUGCCACGUCGAGCCCGCGUAUUAUGGACGAAUGAUAGUGAGUUCACUACGCCCCAAUAAAGUACAGAACACCGAACUCAACUAGAGUGAUUGGUGUUGAACAUCACAUAGUGGCGAACGGGUGAGUAACGCGUAGACAACCUGCCUUCCAGAUGGGGACAACACUGCGAAAGUGGUGCUAAUACCGAAUGUUGUAGAUUUGCCGCAUGGCAGAAAUACUAAAGGUGGCCUCUGAAAAUGCUACCGCUGGAAGAUGGGUCUGCGUCUGAUUAGCUAGAUGGUGAUUUCCUGGCUCACCAAGGAGACGAUCAGUAGCCGGUCUGAGAGGAUGAACGGCCACACNGGUCCGAGACACAGGACGGACUCCUACUGGAGUCAGAAGGAGGGAAUC
rnacentral:sRNA from 1 species